rnacentral:rRNA from 1 species
UACGUAGGGUGCGAGCGUUGUCCGGAAUUAUUGGGCGUAAAGAGCUUGUAGGCGGUUUGUCGCGUCUGCUGUGAAAAUCCGGGGCUCAACCCCGGACUUGCAGUGGGUACGGGCAGACUAGAGUGUGGUAGGGGGAGACUGGAAUUCCUGGUGUAGCGGUGGAAUGCGCAGAUAUCAGGAGGAACACCGAUGGCGAAGGCAGGUCUCUGGGCCACUACUGACGCUGAGGAGCGAAAGCGUGGGGAGCGAACAGG